rnacentral:rRNA from 1 species
CCCUUAGUAACUGCGAGUGAAGAGGGAAAAGCUCAAAUUUAAAAUCUGGCAGUGUUUCACUGUCCGAGUUGUAACCUAGAGAAGUGUAACCUGUGCUGGACCGUGUAUAAGUCUCCUGGAAUGGAGCAUCAUAGAGGGUGAGAAUCCCGUCUUUGACACGGACUACCAGUGCAUUGUGGUUGCGCUCUCAACGAGUCGAGUUGUUUGGGAAUGCAGCUCUAAAUGGGUGGUAAAUUCCAUCUAAAGCUAAAUAUUGGCGAGAGACCGAUAGCGAACAAGUACCGUGAGGGAAAGAUGAAAAGAACUUUGGAAAGAGAGUNAAACAGUAUGUGAAAUUGUUGAAAGGGAAACGUUUGAAGUCAGUCGCGUUGGUUGGGGAUCAGCCUGACAUUGUUGGGUGUACUUCCUGGUUGACGGGCCAACAUCAGUUUUGACUGCCAGAAAAAGGCCAAAGGAAUGUGGCACCUUUGGGUGUGUUAUAGCCCUUGGUCGUAUAUGGUGGUUGGGACUGAGGAAAGCAGCGUGCCGAAAGGCUGGGUUUCGACCACGUUCACGCUGAGGAUGUUGGCAUAAUGGCUUUAAGCGACCCGUCUUGAAACACGGACCAAGGAGUCUAACAUGCGUGCGAGUGUUUGGGUGGAAAACCCUUACGCGUAAUG